UACGGAGGGAGCUAGCGUUGUUCGGAAUUACUGGGCGUAAAGCGCACGUAGGCGGCUUUGUAAGUUAGAGGUGAAAGCCCGGAGCUCAACUCCGGAAUUGCCUUUAAGGCUGCAUCGCUUGAAUCCAGGAGAGGUGAGUGGAAUUCCGAGUGUAGAGGUGAAAUUCGUAGAUAUUCGGAAGAACACCAGUGGCGAAGGCGGCUCACUGGACUGGUAUUGACGCUGAGGUGCGAAAGCGUGGGGAGCAAACAGG
rnacentral:rRNA from 1 species